rnacentral:rRNA from 1 species
CCCCUACGGGGCGCAGCAGUGAGGAAUAUUGGUCAAUGGCCGAGAGGCUGAACCAGCCAAGUCGCGUGAGGGAUGACGGCCCUACGGGUUGUAAACCUCUUUUGUCGGGGAGCAAAGAGAGUCACGUGUGGCUCAUUGAGAGUACCCGAAGAAAAAGCAUCGGCUAACUCCGUGCCAGCAGCCGCGGUACUACGUAGGGGGCAAGCGUUAUCCGGAUUUACUGGGUGUAAAGGGUGCGUAGGUGGCAGGGCAAGUAAGAUGUGAAAGCCCGGGGAUCAACCCCGGUACUGCAUUUGCAACUGUCC